AAACCAACCGGGAUUGCCUUAGUAACGGCGAGUGAAGCGGCAAAAAGCUCAAAUUUGAAAUCUGGUACCUUCGGUGCCCGAGUUGUAAUUUGGAGAGGGCAACUUUGGGGCCGUUCCUUGUCUAUGUUCCUUGGAACAGGACGUCAUAGAGGGUGAGAAUCCCGUGUGGCGAGGAGUGCGGUUCUUUGUAAAGUGCCUUCGAAGAGUCGAGUUGUUUGGGAAUGCAGCUCUAAGUGGGUGGUAAAUUCCAUCUAAAGCUAAAUAUUGGCGAGAGACCGAUAGCGAACAAGUACAGUGAUGGAAAGAUGAAAAGAACUUUGAAAAGAGAGUGAAAAAGUACGUGAAAUUGUUGAAAGGGAAGGGCAUUUGAUCAGACAUGGUGUUUUGUGCCCUCUGCUCCUUGUGGGUAGGGGAAUCUCGCAUUUCACUGGGCCAGCAUCGGUUUGUGGCAGGAUAAAUCCAUAGGAAUGUAGCUUGCCUCGGUAAGUAUUAUAGCCUGUGGGAAUACUGCCAGCUGGGA
rnacentral:rRNA from 1 species